rfam:Mycoplasma sp. CAG:472 genomic scaffold, scf45
AUCUUAUAAAGAGUGAUGGAGGGACUAGCCCGUUGAAGUCACACCAACCUAUUAAAUUAGGUGGUAAUGCUAGAUCUAUAAGAU